GCUUAUGCAUGCAAGUCGAGCGAAGCUUUUCAGUAGUUUACUACAGAAAAUGACUGAGCGGCGAACGGGUGAGUAACGCGUGAGCAAUCUACCUUAGUUACAGGGAUAGCCCGAGGAAACUCGGAUUAAUACCUGAUAUUCUUUAAAUUUCGCAUGAAAUUAAAAGGAAAGUCAGCCGAACUAAGAUGAGCUCGCGUUCUAUCAGCUAGUUGGUGAGGUAAAAGCUCACCAAGGCAACGACGGAUAGCUGGUCUGAGAGGACGAUCAGCCACACUGGGACUGAGACACGGCCCAGACUCCUACGGGAGGCUGCAGCAGGGAAUAUUGCGCAAUGAGCGAAAGCUUGACGCAGCGACACCGCGUGUGGGAUGACGGAUCUAGGUUUGUAAACCACUUUCAGGAGGGAAGAAAAUGACGGUACCUCCACAAGAAGCCCCGGCCAACUACGUGCCAGCAGCCGCGGUAAUACGUAGGGGGCGAGCGUUGUCCGGAUUUAUUGGGCGUAAAGAGCUCGUAGGCGGUUCAACAAGUCGGUCGUAAAAGUUCAGGGCUCAACCCUGAAAUGUCGAUCGAUACUGUUGUGACUAGGAUACGGUAGAGGUGAGUGGAAUUCCGAGUGUAGCGGUGAAAUGCGUAGAUAUUCGGAGGAACACCAAUUGCGAAGGCAGCUCACUGGGCCGCUAUCGACGCUGAGGAGCGAAAGCUAGGGGAGCAAACAGGAUUAGAUACCCUGGUAGUCCUAGCUGUAAACGAUGGAUACUAGACGUAGGAACUGGCUUGACGGUUUCUGUGUCGUAGCUAACGCGUUAAGUAUCCCGCCUGGGGAGUACGGUCGCAAGACUAAAACUCAAAGGAAUUGACGGGACCCCGCACAAGCGGCGGAGCAUGCGGCUUAAUUCGAUGAUACCCGUAGAACCUUACCUGGACUUGACAUAUAGGGUCAAGCUAUAGAGAUAUAGUGUGCAUUAGCG
rnacentral:rRNA from 1 species